rnacentral:rRNA from 1 species
UAUGUGAUCGUCUCUCGCAUAUCAAUAAGCGGAGGAAAAGAAACUAACAAGGAUUCCCCUAGUAACGGCGAGUGAAGCGGGAAGAGCUCAAAUUUGAAAUCUUAAAGGGUUUCCCUUUACGAAUUGUAGUUUAAAGAAGUGUUUUCUGUUGAGGUUUUGGUAAAAGUUCUUUGGAAGUAGGACAUCAUAGAGGGUGAGAAUCCCGUAUUUGACCUUUACUUUCAACUUUGUGAUACACUUUCAAAGAGUCGGAUUGUUUGGGAAUGCAGUCCAAAAUGGGUGGUAAAUUUCAUCUAAAGCUAAAUAUUGGCGAGAGACCGAUAGCGAACAAGUACCGUGAGGGAAAGAUGAAAAGAACUUUGAAAAGAGAGUUAAACAGUACGUGAAAUUGUCAAAAGGGAAGCGUUUGACACCAGUGUUGUUUUUCUGAAAAUCAAUUAAAGAACUGUUUAUGCUAAGCUGUUUAGACUUUAUCAGCUAUCUGUUUAGUUUUGAGCUUUUCUUUAAUGCACUUUUCAGUUAACAAGUCAACAUCAAUUUCUUUUGCUGUAAAAAAGCUUGAGGAAGGUGGCUUGAGAUUCGUCUUAAGUGUUUAUAGCCUCUUGCCUAUGCAGUCGGAGAGAUUGAGGUCUGCAGCGUAGAUCCUUCGGGGCUAAAUGCAUUUGUGCUAAGUUAUAGCAUUUUAUAGACAACUUGUUGACUAUGAUUUGUCUUGUAGCUUACUCGCUUAUGUUAUUUUACCUACGCUUAGGAUGUUGAAUCUGUGCGAGACUAC